CAGCAGCCACGGGAAUACGGAGGAUCCAAGCGUUAUCCGGAAUCAUUGGGUUUAAAGGGUCCGUAGGCGGUCUUGUAAGUCAGUGGUGAAAGCCCAUCGCUCAACGGUGGAACGGCCAUUGAUACUGCAGGACUUGAAUUAUUGGGAAGUAACUAGAAUAUGUAGUGUAGCGGUGAAAUGCUUAGAGAUUACAUGGAAUACCAAUUGCGAAGGCAGGUUACUACCAAUUGAUUGACGCUGAUGGACGAAAGCGUGGGUAGCGAACAGGAUUAGAUACCCCCGUAGUCCCUGUCUCUUAUAU
rnacentral:rRNA from 1 species